GGUAAGAUGGCUGAGUUUAGGCGGUGGAUUGUAAAUCCAUUUAGAAAGGUUAGUACCUUUUCAUACCA
rnacentral:tRNA from 1 species